ensembl:snRNA U6 U6 spliceosomal RNA
GUAGCUCACUUCAGCAGUACAUACACUAAAAGUGGAACGAUAGAGAGAAGGUUAGCACAGCCCCUGCACAAGGGUGACACGCAAAUUUGUGACGUUUCCAUUAAAAAC